ensembl:lncRNA
GUUGCUGUGCACCCGUUAUGCCACACCUCAUUACGAGGCAGUGAUUACCACAGGACCGGCCAUGGUCCUGCUCAGCCAUUGGUCAGUGCCACAGUAGGCCCCGCCCACAAGCAACCAACGGUCUAAGAGUGACGGUUAGCGGGGCAUUCAGUCAACUGUCAGUGGAAUGGUGGUCGUGGGGUGAAGAAUGAGAGUUCCCACAGAUGGAGCUGUUUCAACAACACAGCCUUGAGAAUAAUGUGGUGUUGAGACAUCUGGACAGUAUGUGUGACUGAAUGCGGUUAAGACCUUCUGUGUAAACUUUUAAGGUUCUGGUGGGUGAGUGUGAAGAUCUUCUCAUCUUGCAGCUGCCCAAGACAAGCCUUGUUGGUCAUAACUUUUCUUCUGAGGAGAAAGCAUCUUUUAUUUUCAUGGCUGCUGUCACCAUCUGCAGUGAUUUUGGAGUUAAGUUGCACACAGUGGGAGUUUAAGCUGUCCACUUGACACCAGGCCUGUCCCAGAAUGAAGCUGUUUUUCAUGACUUCAGAAGGAAUCCUUACAUGGCUUAGCUGCAAGCCUCCACCACAGCUUCUCUUACAAGACUGCAAUUAAAGUGUGGGCUGGGAAUGCAAUCUUGUCUGAAGACUCAACAGAGAAUUGUUGUUCAGCUGAUCAAUCAUGUCUGACUCUUUGCAACCACAUGGACUGCAGCACACCAGGCCUCCCUAUCCUUCACCAUCUCCCAGUUUGCUCAAACUAUUGUCCAUUGAUUCGGUGAUGCCAUCCAACCAUCUUGUCCUCUGCUGUCUCCUUCUCCUCCUGCCUUCAAUCUUUCCCAGCAUCAGGUCCUUUUCUAAUGAGUUGGCUCCUUGCAUCAGGCUCUUUGCAUCUCCAAUAUGUGCCUAGUACUGGAGCUUCCCCUUUAGCAUCAGUCCUUCCAAUGAAUAUUC